AAGAGGACAGGGGGGAGUGUUAGAUAGGAUGGUAGGGAAGGCCACUUCGAGGACACAUCAUUUGAGGAGUUAACUGAAUAGUAAGAAGUCUCCAAGCUGCAAAGGACUGAAGGAAGAACAUUUUGGACAAGGCUCUGAAGGAAAAACACCAGCUGAGGAAGAAUGAAGAACUGCCUGUUCUAAGUUAUUCUCCUUCUGUGGUCAUUUGAUCCCCAGGAAGACCAUGUUUACCCCAUCAAGUGCCUGGAGAAAGGAGGCAAUUACCCAGAGAAGUCAAGCAAAAAGGAAAGGGGGAAAAAUGAAAAUCACGCACCAGGAUAGAGGUCCCAGGCUCCAAGCUGGAGUGGAAACUGCCUUCAACACACCCUAAAUCUCACAAAAGUUUAAGACCCAGACUUGGGGUUAAACAGACCUGGAUUUGAAAAUGAGUUCAACUUAUUAUACAUACUACCUAGGCAAGAUUUAACCUCUCUGUAUCUGUUUAUUCAUUUGUUAAAUGGGGAAUAAGAGUACAUACUUUGGGUCAAUCAGAUUUGGAUUUCAAUCCCAGCUCUGCUAAAGACUUUGUCAAGGAAGACAUUGUUCAAUAUGUGGCACACAUUAGGCACUUAUGCAUUUAUUCAAAAAAUGAAAGGGAAAGAAGAAAGGAAGGAUGGAGAGAAGGAAGGAAGGAAAGAAGGAAGGAAUCAAGCAAGGAAUUCGACAAGUGAAUGCUCUUUCUCCUUUGCUGCUGACCAUCUGAGAUGCACUCUCUCUGGGUGGACAUUUUUCUCGGAUGCACCACGAUUCCCACUGCGAGUGGGUGGGUGAAGCCUAAUUUUCCUCUCUGUGAAUGUGGGUCAGACCUGGUGACUCAGUUCUAAAGAAUAGAAUGCGGUGAGACUGAUGCUAUGUGACUUUGAGGGCUACGUCAUAAAAAGGAUGGCUUCUAUCUGACAUUCUCUAUUGGAUCCUUUGCUCUGGGAGAAGUCAGCCAUCAUGCUGUGAGGACACUCAAGUAGCGUGUGGAGAGGAACUGGGGCUUCCCACCUACAACCAAUACCAACUUGCAAGCCAUGUGAGUGAGCCACUUCGGAAGCAGAUCCUCUGGCCCCAUACAAGCCUUAAGAUGACUACAGCACAGAUGAUACUUUGACUGCAACUUCAUGAGAAAUCCUGAGCUAAAAACACCCUGCUAA